rnacentral:rRNA from 1 species
UGGCUCAGAUGACGUUGGCGGCGUGGAUUAGGCAUGCAAGUCGUACGCAUAGCUUCGGCUAUGAGUGGCGCAAGGGUGAGUAAUGCGAAGGUAACCAACCCUGGUGUUGGGCAUAGCCGCGGGAAACUGCGGGUAAUUCCCAGCGACGUCACGAGAUGGCAUCAUCUUGUGACCAAAGGUGUGAUUCCGCUCUAGGACGGGCCUUCGUGGUAUUAGGUAGUUGGUGAGGUAACGGCUCACCAAGCCGACGAUGCCUACCGGGUGUGAGAGCAUGACCCGGCACACUGGAACUGAGACACUGUCCAGACACCUACGGGUGGCUGCAGUCGAGAAUCUUCGGCAAUGGGCGAAAGCCUGACCGAGCGACGCCGCGUGAGGGAUUGAAGGCCUUCGGGUUGUAAACCUCUUUCGUAGAGGAGGAAGGGGCCGUGAAGAACGGUCUUUGACCUAUUCUAGGAAGAAGCUUGGGCUAAGUUCGUG